rnacentral:rRNA from 1 species
AACGAACGCUGGCGGCAUGCCUAACACAUGCAAGUCGAACGAGACCUUCGGGUCUAGUGGCGCACGGGUGCGUAACGCGUGGGAACCUGCCCUUAGGUUCGGAAUAACUCCCCGAAAGGGGUGCUAAUACCGGAUAAUGUCUUCGGACCAAAGAUUUAUCGCCUGGGGAUGGGCCCGCGUUGGAUUAGCUAGUUGGUAGGGUAAAAGCCUACCAAGGCGACGAUCCAUAGCUGGUCUGAGAGGAUGAUCAGCGACACUGGGACUGAGACACGGCCCAGACUAAGACGGGAGGCAGGAGUGGGGAAGAGUGGACAAUGGGCGGAAGCCGGAUGAAGCAACGCCGCGUGCGGGAUGAUGGAAUUCGGGUUGUAAACAGCUUGCGCCGGUGACGAAGGGGGAGCGAGGGUAAUGGGUAAAGAAGCAACGGCUAACUACGUG